UACGAAGGGGGCUAGCGUUGCUCGGAAUCACUGGGCGUAAAGCGCACGUAGGCGGCUUCUUAAGUCAGGGGUGAAAUCCUGGAGCUCAACUCCAGAACUGCCUUUGAUACUGGGGAGCUCGAGUCCGGGAGAGGUGAGUGGAACUGCGAGUGUAGAGGUGAAAUUCGUAGAUAUUCGCAAGAACACCAGUGGCGAAGGCGGCUCACUGGCC
rnacentral:rRNA from 1 species